ACGCUGGCGGCAGGCCUAACACAUGCAAGUCGAGCGGAAACGACACUAACAAUCCUUCGGGUGCGUUAAUGGGCGUCGAGCGGCGGACGGGUGAGUAAUGCCUAGGAAAUUGCCUUGAUGUGGGGGAUAACCAUUGGAAACGAUGGCUAAUACCGCAUAAUGCCUACGGGCCAAAGAGGGGGACCUUCGGGCCUCUCGCGUCAAGAUAUGCCUAGGUGGGAUUAGCUAGUUGGUGAGGUAAUGGCUCACCAAGGCGACGAUCCCUAGCUGGUCUGAGAGGAUGAUCAGCCACACUGGAACUGAGACACGGUCCAGACUCCUACGGGAGGCAGCAGUGGGGAAUAUUGCACAAUGGGCGAAAGCCUGAUGCAGCCAUGCCGCGUGUAUGAAGAAGGCCUUCGGGUUGUAAAGUACUUUCAGUUGUGAGGAAGGGUGUGUAGUUAAUAGCUGCGCAUCUUGACGUUAGCAACAGAAGAAGCACCGGCUAACUCCGUGCCAGCAGCCGCGGUAAUACGGAGGGUGCGAGCGUUAAUCGGAAUUACUGGGCGUAAAGCGCAUGCAGGUGGUUCAUUAAGUCAGAUGUGAAAGCCCGGGGCUCAACCUCGGAACUGCAUUUGAAACUGGUGAACUAGAGUACUGUAGAGGGGGGUAGAAUUUCAGGUGUAGCGGUGAAAUGCGUAGAGAUCUGAAGGAAUACCAGUGGCGAAGGCGGCCCCCUGGACA
rnacentral:rRNA from 1 species